rnacentral:lncRNA from 1 species
CAACAGGUUGGUUAGGAAUAUGAAAACUAACAACCUUACGAAAACAAUCAAUUUUGGCAUGAUGAGUAGUUAACCAAUCAAUCCCUAAAAUCACAUCAAAAGCAAGUAUCUUUAAAGAGAUAAGGUCAACAGGUAAGGUGAUGGUGCCAACUUGAAUCAAACAAGAUUUAUAAACAGUGGAUGUGAUGAAAGUUUCUCCUAACGGAGUUUCCACAGAUAGGUCAAAGUCUAAUUUUUCCGGAGUCAAAUUUAAACGUUGAGCACAAGUAGGAGAGAUAAAUGAAUGGGUAGCACCGGUAUCUAGUAAAGUAUAAACUUCACAAGAAUUUAUGAUUAGCUUACCCGUGAUCACCUCAUUUGGGUUCCUCGCAUUUUGACCAGUCACGACAAACGCUCUUCCAG